rnacentral:rRNA from 1 species
CGGGGUGAGUAAUGUCUGGGAAACUGCCUGAUGGAGGGGGAUAACUACUGGAAACGGUAGCUAGUACCGCAUAACGUCGCAAGACCAAAGAGGGGGACCUUCGGGCCUCUUGCCAUCGGAUGUGCCCAGAUGGGAUUAGCUAGUAGGUGGGGUAACGGCUCACCUAGGCGACGAUCCCUAGCUGGUCUGAGAGGAUGACCAGCCACACUGGAGCUGAGACACGGUCCAG